AUGCCUGAGGUGGUCCAGGGGGAGGGGCAGAAAGCCUGCAGGAGAGGCUCCACUGUGUCUGCCUCAGGGUCUGGGAGGGCGUCUGGUCAGGUCUGGUCAGCUUGUCAGGUCACCCGGGGAGAGAGUGGGGGUGCAGGGGGCAGGCAGAGGCUGCCGCUCCCUUUCCUCAGAAGCAGCUCAGCCUUCUGCACAGCCCUGGCUGGCGCUGUGGCUUCUCCUCCUCCCUGUCGGCCCUUACAACCCACAUUAUCACAUUUUUUUACUGGAGGCCCUGCGACCGGGCGUGAGGCCUGGGGCUGUGGGGGCAGGGCCAGGGAGGUUGCCGCUGGCUGGCUCUCUCAGCUUCCGGCCGCUGCGGCUUCCGGCCUCUCUGAGGAAGCAGGGCGUGACACAGAAGGACCGCUGCAGGUAGGACGCGCCACCCGAGUGUCACCUUGCUUCCUGAAUGCUCACGUGCCAGCUUCACAUCCGGUUUCCUGCAGGCACAGAGACCCAGGCAGGGCCUGGCUGCAGCCCAGGUGAACUCCCCGGAAGGAGGGGGUCUGGUUUCCAAAUCAGAGGGAAGAAGUCUGUAAACAGCUCAGGUAGGCCAGAGGGCAGGGAGAGGAACCGUGCUGACUCUAUCCUUUCCAGGUGUGGGAACAGGGCAGUUCAGCAAUGGAUGGUGGGUGCCGGAGCCCGGCACGGCAGGGAAAAAACACUUCUGACUGGCAUUUCCUGGCACACCUGACUGGCUUGGUAAUCUCCUGCUCCUGAGACAUAUGGGUGCUUGGGAACAUUUUAACCCAGAGGCAAGUAAGAGAAAGUUUUGUGUUGAUCAAGGCUCUUCCAGCUGGAGUGACAGAAAAUUCAACUCAAGUACAAGUAAUAAUAGGUAAUGUUGUAUAGCAUUUACUGCACAUCAAGCUUUAUCUAAGUCCUCUAUACCUUAACUGCUAUUCCUCUCAACAGUUCUAUUCUUGUCCCCAUUUUACACAAAGUCACUGAGGAACCUCAAGAUCACACAACGUGGCCAGCCAGGAUUAAAACUCCGAGAUGCUCAUCCUCCUCACCCCUACCCUUUCCUGCCUCUUGAGAUUGAACAGGAAGACAGAGUUUUGUGCCAGCACACGUCCCCUGGUCCCACAGAGGCAGGAUGCAGGUGGGGCUUGGAAGACAGGUGACAGGAACAAGUGUGCCUCGGGACUCCCCUUCUCAGUCUUUAGUUCCUGUUUUCCUGUAGGCUAGACUGAUUUUCAUCUACUGCAGCUUGAUUUCCUCCACCCGUAAAGGGGAACCUGGCUUCUGGCAGCUCCAGAGCUCCAUUCAGCCCCUAAAGAGAAAAAAAAAACACCCUCUCUCUGUGCUCCAAGUUGGAAACUUCUAGGAGAGGGCUCCGACUGGCCAGUCAACAGAAAGCAAGGAGCCUGGGAGGGCAGGGGGUUCUGUAAGAAGAUGGGAGUUUCCAUUGUAAUUCUUGGUCAGAACUGUGGGAGAGGCCAGUUCCAAGAAGAAGGAGGUAGAGACCUUGUUGGACCCAAGUGCCCUCUGGGUAAAACUGAUGACUGGGAAAACUCUCCGAAUCCAGGCCUGCAUAACACCAUGGGCCAGGAUCCCCAGGGGCUGACAGAGAAGCGCAGUGGGGAAAGAGAGGAAAUAAGAGGACUUAGUUGCUCUCAAAGGAAAUGAGAGUAAGCAGAGAAGGGAAGAAGUCAAGAAUGGAUGCUGGCAUGAUGGACAGCUGUCCUUGAGACAGGCUGGGAGCCAAGAAGUAAGUAUGCAGGACAAAUGCUCCUGGAUUCCUAGGUCAAGGGUUAAGAGUCUACAGGUAUCCGUGCUCUGUUCUUUCUUCUACAAGGACAGGCUCCAGGGACCACCAGGAUGCCUCCUGGAAAUUAGUCUCUGCCCUCCCUCCCAGCUUGUAUUAGACUUAUUCCUGAAUAAGUAUAAUCACCCCUAAACUAAAACAAUGGUAUUCAUUUAUUACCUCGCACAGUUUCUACGGAGGGACAUGUAGGUGUUUCCCAGCUUUUUCCCCUUUACAAACACUGAUACAAUGAGUAUACAUGCACAGGUCUACCUAGGCUGUGUUGCAUCGCUUGAUAGAACUUAGAGGGAAAGGGUUGUAUUUGGAGCCACAUCUUCCUGGGUCCAAAUCCCACCUCCUCUAUCUAAUAGCCGUGCAAACAUGGGCAUGUUUAACUACCUCACACGUCAGUUCCCUCAUCCUUAAAACGGCAAUAAUGCCUUCCUAUAGGGCUGUUGGGAGGGGAAUCGUGCAGGAUUGACCUGAGGAUCACAUAAUAUAAGCCAUGUAAAGCAUCUCGCACAUUCAGCCUCUAAGAUUCACUUUCCCCAUCUGUAAAAUGGUGGUAUUACUUCCCUGGUUGAAUGGUUUUGAGGAUUAAAUCUCACAGACUUGUAAAGACUAAAUGAAAGAACCCAAGGAAAGCACUUAGCUCUGAGCCUGGCCCAUAGAAAGUGCUCAGCAAACGUUAGCUCUUGCUAUGGUUCAUAGUCUCCACUAAGUUUGCUAUUUUAUUACAGGUAUUAAAACUACUACACAGCCUUAGAGCAGCUAUAUUUUAUGUCAAUUAUGGUUCUUAACAACUAAAAAUAUUUGCUGAGAGUAAUCUAGGCAGAAGACUCAAAGCAGACCCUUUAGGGAUAGAAAUGUACAUAGAAAUAAGUCUCAUUAAUUUGUUUCUUUUUAUUUUCUUUUGGGGAAAUCAAAGUAUCUUCUUUAGCUGUAACAUGGAAGUGAGCCUUUGUAGGCUGGUGGGGUGGACAGAAUGGAUCACUUUGCUAAUUAUCCCUGGAAAGACAAACAUCAGAUUGAUAUUUUCCUUCAUGUUGCUCUACCAACAAACAUAUUUGCUCCUCCCAUGUGCCCUGCCCUAGAGAGGUGACAGGGGACGUGGAGGAGGGGGCAUUUCCAGAGUCCUUGAACUACAGGAACCUGGGAAUAUUGAGCUGGAACACUGACUUAUCCCACAGAGCAUCCGAGUUGCCAGGUGAACCCUGUAAAGUGUCCUGGUGGCAGAAUAAACACCUACAGAAGACAGGUGGUUCCCAGCUGUUAAAGAGGAGCCUGUGGAUUUUCAGAGCAGACGACCCAGCCAGAGAACUGCCAGUGUUCACUGCACUUGUGACGAUUAAGCAAGAAGCCUACAAACAUAUUGCUUAACACCCAUCCAUCAGCUCCCAGGCAGUCCGGAGACCUGUGCCUGCCUUUUCCUAGAACUUGACAUCUCUAUUUGGGCCGUCUCCCCACAAAGGUUCCCAUCCAGACAAAGCUCCCCAGGAAGCAACAGGCAUCAGGCUGGCGGUCACACUGCCCAGUAGGGUAAAAGCCACUGGGACUGGCAUUAAACCAGGUGGGGCUGUAGAGAGCCAGAGGGAGGCUGGGAGGGAGCGGGGGCGUCCUCUUCCUGCAGGGCCCCUCUCCGCCUUUCUCUUCUCCCUGCUCCUGGCACAUGAAAGUAUGUGCUCUGGACGCCGUUGGCCCUGAGAAACUGGGGCCAGGCCAUGGGCGCUCCAGGCUGGUGCAAACAGGGAACGUGAUCCUGCCCGCCUAGCCUGCCCCUACGUGGGAAGCUGCCUCCCUCGUAACUCCGGUUUGGUGGCUCUCAGACUCCACUGGGCAUCAGACCACCCUAGGGGGGAGGGGAGGGGGUGGAGAGGAGGCUUGUGAAGAAGGCAUGUUCCCAGGUCCAGCCCCAGACCUUCUGACCCUGUGAAUGACGCUCCUCAUUUGAGAAAUGUAUCUGUGUUAGAAUCCCAUACUGGUAGACGGUUCACCUAAACUGGCCCCCAGACAAUGCUUUAUAAACGACUGUGCCAUCAUGUACAAACUGGAAGCUUUUACAUAAAAAUCUCAUUUCCAUUCUGCAUGAGACCAGGCCCAGGUCUACGUUACCACUUGACAGUAAGAAACCAGUGCUAAGCAGCCUCUACCCUGUGAUGCAAGGCCGGUGCCCCCCAGUUCACAUUAGCACCCCACCCCCAAUACACACACAGAAGCUCAUUCACUCACAUUCUGUCUCUCUCCUCUGGCCACGCUCCUCAAGCUUUGACCCUGCAGCCUCUGCUCCAUCCUGCUGGCGGGAUGAGGGGUAGAGAAAGCCAAGAGAGCUCGCUUUUCUCCUUCCCCAGCUGCAAUCAAGUGAUACUAAUGUCCCCACUGACUCGCUGACCCGUGGAGUUACGUCUCCUGACUGCAUCCUCCUGUGCCUUCUCCCCACUAGGAUGGAACUUGAACAGAAGAAGAGCCUUUGUCUGGUUUGCUCUCUGGAGUGCCCCCCCCCCGAGCCUAGCACAGUGUCUGGCACACAGAAGGGAGCUGAAAAUACCUACCAAGCAAAUCAAAAUCACAAUGAGAUACACUUCACACUGACUGGGAUGGCUCUAAUUGCAAAAUGGAAACUAAUAAGUGUUGACAAGGAUGUGGAGAAAUUGGAGCCCUUGUAUGUUGCUGAUGGGAAUGCAAACUGGGGCAGCCAUUGUGGAAAACAGUCCAGCAGUUCCUCAAAAAGUUAAACACAGGGGUGCCUGGGUGGCUCAGUCAUUAAGCAUCUGCCUUUGGCUCAGGUCAUGAUCCCAGGGUCCUGGGAUCGACUCUGCAUCAGGCUCUCUGCUCAGCGGGGAGCCUGCUUCUCCCUCUACCCCUCCCCCCUGCUUGUGAUCUCUCUCUCUCUGUCAAAUAAAUAAAUAAAAUCUUUUUAAAAAAAAGUUAAACAUAGAGUUACCAUAUAAUCUAGCAAUGCCACUCGUAGGCUUAUGUCCUAGAGAAUUAAAUGCAGGUGUUCAAACAAAAACUUGUACACAGAUGUUCAUAACACUAUUCACAAUAACCAAAAGGUAGAAACAACCCAGAAGUCCAUCAACUGAUGAAUGGAUAAACACAUUGUGAUAUAACCAUACAAUUGAAUAUUAUUCAGUCACAAAAAGGGAUGAAGUACUGAUACAUGCUAUUACAUGGGCAAACAUUAUAGGCUCAAGAAGCCAGACACAGGGGCGCCUGAGUGGCUCAGUUGGUCGAGCAUCCAACACAGGUUGGUUUCGGCGCAGGUCGUGAUCUAGGGGUCGUGAGAUCAAGCCCCAGCUCCGCUCCUCACUCAGCCAAGAGUCUGCUUGGGAUUCUCUCAAUAUGCUCCCCCCUUCUCUCUCUCUCUCAAAUAAAUAAUUUUUUUAAGCCAGACACAAAAGGCCAAAAGUUAUACAAUUCCAUUUACGUAAAAUAUCCAGAUUAGGCAAAUCCAUAGAGACAGAAAGUAACUCAAUGGUUGCCAGCAGCUGGGAGGAGAAGGUAAUAAAGAGUGACUACCUAUGGAUGGGGGGGUUCCCUUUGGGAGUGAUG
ensembl:lncRNA